CGUAACAAGGUCUCCGUUGGUGAACCAGCGGAGGGAUCAUUACCGAGUUUACAACUCCCAAACCCCUGUGAACAUACCACUUGUUGCCUCGGCGGAUCAGCCCGCUCCCGGUAAAACGGGACGGCCCGCCAGAGGACCCCUAAAACUCUGUUUCUAUAUGUAACUUCUGAGUAAAACCAUAAAUAAAUCAAAACUUUCAACAACGGAUCUCUUGGUUCUGGCAUCGAUGAAGAACGCAGCAAAAUGCGAUAAGUAAUGUGAAUUGCAGAAUUCAGUGAAUCAUCGAAUCUUUGAACGCACAUUGCGCCCGCCAGUAUUCUGGCGGGCAUGCCUGUUCGAGCGUCAUUUCAACCCUCAAGCACAGCUUGGUGUUGGGACUCGCGUUAAUUCGCGUUCCUCAAAUUGAUUGGCGGUCACGUCGAGCUUCCAUAGCGUAGUAGUAAAACCCUCGUUACUGGUAAUCGUCGCGGCCACGCCGUUAAACCCCAACUUCUGAAUGUUGACCUCGGAUCAGGUAGGAAUACCCGCUGAACUUAAGCAUAUCAAUAA
rnacentral:rRNA from 1 species